rnacentral:rRNA from 1 species
CAGCACCUCAAGUGGUCAGGAUGAUUAUUGGGCCUAAAGCAUCCGUAGCCGGCGCUGUAAGUUUUCGGUUAAAUCUGUACGCUCAACGUACAGGCUGCCGGGAAUACUGCAGCGCUAGGGAGUGGGAGAGGUGGACGGUACUCGGUAGGAAGGGGUAAAAUCCUUUGAUCUAUUGAUGACCACCUGUGGCGAAGGCGGUCUACCAGAACACGUCCGACGGUGAGGGAUGAAAGCUGGGGGAGCAAACCGGAUUAGAGACCCGAGUAGUCC